rnacentral:rRNA from 1 species
AAGGUGACUGCGUACCUUUUGUAUAAUGGGUCAGCGACUUACUUUCAGUAGCAAGGUUAACCGUAUAGGGGAGCCGUAGAGAAAUCGAGUCUUAACUGGGCGAUCAGUUGCUGGAAGUAGACCCGAAACCGAGCGAUCUAUCCAUGGCCAGGGUGAAGGUUAGGUAACACUGACUGGAGGCCCGAACCCACAUCUGUUGAAAAAGAUGGGGAUGAGCUGUGGAUCGGAGUGAAAGGCUAAUCAAGCUCGGAGAUAGCUGGUUCUCCUCGAAAGCUAUUUAGGUAGCGCCUCAUGUAUCACCCUCGGGGGUAGAGCACUGUUUCGGCUAGGGGGCCAUCCCGGCUUACCAAACCGAUGCAAACUCCGAAUACCGAGGAGUGCAAUCAUGGGAGACACACGGCGGGUGCUAACGUCCGUCGUGGAAAGGGAAACAACCCAGACCGCCAGCUAAGGUCCCUAAAUCUAGAUUAAGUGGGAAACGAUGUGGGAAGGCACAGACAGCUAGGAGGUUGGCUUAGAAGCAGCCACCCUUUAAAGA